rnacentral:rRNA from 1 species
AUCUAAGAACAUUUUCCAAUAUUCUUACUUUGUUACGACUUAUUUCAAAUUUUAUUGAAAUUGACGGGCAAUUUGUACAUUAUAUAAAAAAAAUUCAAAUUAAUAUAACAAUUAAUUUUACUUUUAAAUCCUUUUUAUUAAAAAUAUUAAAACUUCUAACUCAAAAAUUAUUUAUUAAUGUAACUCAUAUUAUCUAAUAAAUACUUUAUUUUGAUUUGAAUUUUUUUUAAAUAUAAUAAAAUUUUAAUUAUAAUAUUUAUACAAAAUUUUUAAACAACAAUACAAAAAUAAUUUAUAAUAUUUUAUAAGUACUUCCUAUCGUGGAUCAUCAAAUUAAUAUACAAGUUCCCCUAAAAUUUUAUAUAACUGCCAUAUCUUAUAAUUUUAAUGCUUUACAUUUAAUAAUUAAU